UACGAAGGGGGGCUAGCGUUGCUCGGAAUACUGGGCGUAAAGCGCACGUAGGCGGCUUUCUAAGUCGGGGGUGAAAUCCUGGAGCUCAACUCCAGAACUGCCUUCGAUACUGGAAAGCUCGAGUCCGGGAGAGGUGAGUGGAACUGCGAGUGUAGAGGUGAAAUUCGUAGAUAUUCGCAAGAACACCAGUGGCGAAGGCGAGUCCCUGGACAACACCUGACACUGAGGCACGAAAGCCGGGGG
rnacentral:rRNA from 1 species